AACAACGCUGUGAAAAGGAAAGUAGAAGAGAGCUUUGACGCAAAGAGAGCGGCCUGCAUGCUGAAAGGGCCGUCGCAAACUCUUUUUGAACGCCACCUUGGAGCACUGCCUUUGAACCUGUUGCGCAUUUCGUAGAAGGCAGCGGCUGGCCCACGUUAUCGGGCGCACGUCUUAGUUGACUGCAUGAGUUUGUCUUUUGUGAGAGGGACAAAAAAGCUGAGUGGUACCGCGAUCGUUCGCCUCAGCA
rnacentral:ncRNA from 1 species